CCAUGAAGUAAAUUCAUAAUCCCAUAAUUCAUCGACUUUAAUCGUCAUUCCAGUUCCUUCCACAGACAACCCAGUCCCGUUCAGAAUAGAUAUACGGGAUUUUGGAAUUUUGACCUCAGACAACUUUAUACUACACAAUGAAUGGUACAUUAAUUAAUGGUACAAUGGUUCAUCAGGGUGCCCAACUCACAAAUACUGAUUUUCAGUGGGGCCUUAAAUUAGAUAAAAUACUUAGUCGAAAUAUGUAUGUAUAAAAGAUUAAAUGUUGUAUGCUAAAAUGUAGUUGUUAGCCUAAGGAUAUAUAAUCAAGAGAAUAAACGACUU